CCCAGGCUCAAGACAAGUGUUGGGGGCUGACACGUGAACCGGAGCGGAGGAAAGCAUCAGCCGCUGGGUUUGAAACAACUUUGUAACUUCCAUGGGACAGAUUUCUGUGCGUCGAUUUUAAGAGGCGUUCGCUAUUCAACAUAUCAAGAGGGGGUUGUUUCAAACAGCUUUCAUUGGUUACAAGAUAUUGCAACAUGGGGAGCCCACGCCUGCUCUAUGUCCUGCUUCUCUACAUAGCCGGAGUGUGUCCCAAGCCCACUUUGAGACACGAGCGGGUCCACCAAGAACCAGAGCUGAGCGAUCAGGUCCACGCCGACUCGGAAAACUUCCACUACGAUCAUGAGGCCUUUCUGGGCAGGGAAGAAGCCAAGACUUUCGACCAGCUCACCCCGGAGGAGAGCGUGGAGAAGCUGCGAAAAAUUGUCGAACGGAUAGAUGAUAAUCAGGAUCAACAUGUGACCACUGAAGAGCUGAAGGCAUGGAUUAUACGGGUGCAGAAACGUUAUAUUUAUGAAAAUGUAGCAAAAGUGUGGAGGGACUAUGACCUGAACAAAGACAACAAAAUUUCCUGGGAAGAAUACAAAAAAGCAACAUACGGCUACUACCUUGAGAACCCUGAAGAGUUUCAAGAUGCAGCAGAUCAGCUCAGCUUUAAGAAGAUGCUUCCUCGAGAUGAGCGGAGGUUCAAAGCUGCAGACCUAGAUGGAGACAUGGUGGCCACCAGGGAGGAGUUCACAGCCUUUCUUCACCCAGAGGAGUUUGAGCACAUGAAGGAAAUUGUUGUUUACGAAACACUUGAAGACAUCGAUAAGAAUGAAGAUGGAUUUGUCGAUGAGGAUGAGUACAUUGCUGAUAUGUAUGCACGAGAAGAAGGUGUCACUGAGCCCGAAUGGGUCAAGACUGAGCGGGAGCAGUUUACCGAUUUCCGCGACUUAAACAAGGAUGGAAAGAUGGACAAGUCUGAAAUCAAACACUGGAUCCUCCCGGAGGAUUAUGACCAUGCACAGGCUGAAGCCAGGCAUCUUGUCUACGAGUCUGACAAGAAUGGGCUGGUUUGAUGGCUUUCAGAUGGAAUCCCUCAUGAUGUUUCUCUGAUCCGAACAGCUUCUGCUGUAACUUUUAAAAGCAGGAUAAAAGAUUAUCAAAACAAGAGAUCCUAGACAAUUGGAAUAUGUUUGUUGGCAGCCAGGCCACCAACUAUGGAGAAGAUCUGACUCGAAACCACAUUGAAUUGUGAUACCAACAAAGGAAAUGAUAGCUGACAAUGUGACAAUUUCCUCCAAUUUAUGAACACUCAUCUGUUUCUGUUGAAGACACAGGAGCGGAUUAACAGGCUGCAAGUACUUGCCAUAUGUAAAGUGAUUGAAAGUUCAAUCUCACUUGCUUAAUGUAGUCCAAUCUGUACCUCAUUGACUCAAGGGGCCACCUUUGCCCAGACCUUUGUUUACACCAAUGAUGAGGCAGCGCUAAUCCAUGUGUAUUGGACAAAGACUUUAUUUCAAUAGACUUGUACAGUUAAAAAUGUUGGGAGCAUUGAGCACAUUCAGUUUUUUUCCCUUCACAUGGGACGUAAGAUGUCAGAUCAUUUCCACCACGUUAUAUAAUCUUUUGUCAUGAGUAAUGAAACACCAGCAAGAUCUUCCACUAGGACAGCCAAGAGUUAUCUGGCUGGGUUCUGAAUAGUACUACAUGCGGUUCCAUUUGGUGAGCAUGGAUUACAAAAGAUAACAUAUUCAUUUGAUUUAAAUGCUUCCAGUCUUUGUUUCCUCCCAAACCUGUGACUUUCACCACUUAGAAGGACAAGGUUGCAGAUACUAGGGAACACCAUCACCUGCGAGCUCUCUUCCAAGGCACACACCAUCCUGACUUGGAAUAUAUCGCUAUUUCUUUAAGGUCGCUGGGUCAGAAUCCUGGGUCUCCAACCCUAAUAGCACCAUGUAGCUAUACCACACAUAAUGCAGAGUUUCAAGGAGGUGGCUCACCAACGCCAUAUCAAAUGCAGUUAGGGAUGGGCAAUAAAUAUUGGUCUUGCCAACAAUACCUAAAUCUUGAGAAUGAAUUAUUACAAAUUCUGCAAUCUCUCUUUUCAAAUGGCACUAACUUUUCAUUGCAUCUCUCUUUUUGGUACUGUUUAAUGUAAGUGUGUGAAAUAAUUGAACCACUUCACUCACUGACCUCAUUUACAUGAAGUCCUUGUGUGGAUUUCCAGGUGACCUAGGCUUGUUGAAUUGGUUUGUUCUGAAUGAUGCAAUACUUCAUUUGCUGUUGGGUAACCUGAACAGGUAACUAGGGGACAAAACCUGACAAGGAGGGACAAGUGGAAAAUCAGUGAAUAAAAACUGACUGCCUGGGGUUUACAAAGUAGCCGCAAGUCAGAUAAAUUAGUUUCUGAGAUGACAGCAAGAUUUGCUGGUUUAUUUGUUAGUUAUUAGGUUUUUCUGCACAUUUCAGAUUUGGUCAUUCCCUGUAGAUUGGUCGACAAAUGUUAUUAAGUGUUGAAGCCACAACAACAACAACAACAACUUGCAUUUAUACAGCACCUUUAACAUAGUGAAACAUCCUAAGGCGGUCCUCAGAAAUGUAACCAUAUAAGAUUUUGACACUGAACUAUGUGAGAUAUUGUGACAGGUGACAAAAAGGGUGGUGAAGAAAGGUAAGUGUUAAGGAGCAACUAGAGAGUUGGAGAGGUUUAAGGAGGGAAUUCCGAAGCUUAGGGCCUAGACAGCUGACGGUACUGCUGCCAGUGGUGGAGUGAUUAAAAUAGGGGAUGUGCGAGAGGCUAGAAUUGGAGGAGUACAGAGAUUGCAGAGGGCUGUAGAGCUGGUGGAGGUUACAGAGAUAAAGAGGGGUGAGGACAUAGAUGGAUUUGAACAGAAGGAUUUUAAAAUUAAGGCAUUGUUGGACUGGGAGCCAAUUUCAGUCAAUAAACAAAAAGGCAUGAAUGAGGGUUUUAGCAGCAGAUGAGCUGAAGGCGGUGUGGAGACGUGAUGUUACAGAGGUGGAAGUGGUGGUGGGAAGCUUAUUUCAACUUCAAAUAGGAAUUAUGAUUAUGUAAAGCCUGGUCCAGCCUCAAACAGUUGCUCAGGAAAUGAAUUUGAUGGCUCAGAACAGUUUAUGGUGUGGACCAUGGACAAUGGCUUCAUUUUUCUGAUAUUUAGUUGUAAGUAAUUUCUGCUCAUCCAGCACUGGAUCUCAACCAAGCAGUCUGACAAAUCAAAGACGCUGCAAGUCAGGAGAGGUGGGGAUGAGGUGGACCUGGGUAUGAUAAGUGAACAUGUGGAACCUGAUAUGUUUUUCAUGUUAUGUAGCGGCAGUAUGUAGAUGAGAAAUAGGAAUGGCACCAAUGAUCGAUCUUUGGGGGACUCCAGAAGUAACGGUGCAGGAGAGGGAAGAGAUUGCAUGUGAUUCUCUGGCUACAACUGGAUAGAUAGUCAACACACUGUCACAUGUGCAGAAGGAAUUACUCCAGGUAUGCAUGGUGUGAUGCAUUUAUAUCAUAAAGCAACUGAUUAGCAUGCUAGAAUCUUUUGAUCUGUUAUGUCUGAUUGUGUUCACCAUUUGUACAAAUAGUAUCAUUUUAUGGUACUACUAUCAGAGUGAUAGUCAAAUAAUAUGCUAGCACUUCCAUUUCAGACUUUUUUGUGAGUGUGUGUGUGCAUGUAUAUAGGUAUAUUCUUUAAUGAAGAAUUUAAUUUUGUGCAAUUUAGAGUUGUACCCAGCAUAGUUCAAUGAUGCGGUCUGACCUGCUGUUGUCAUGGUGCAUUGCUAAGAUUACUUGUGGUGCUGAGCAAUGUGUGAUGAUGCAUAGGGACCACUUUGUGUGAAAUAAAAGCACACAUGGCUCACUCCCAGUUCCUUUUCCCCUUUUCAAGUUAGAUGUGGAUGCUGCUUGGUUGGAGGAUCACCUGCGCCUGCCAUCUAAAUUCUCCAGGACAAAGGUUAGCAAUGAUUCUAGUGAACAACAGCAACACUAGUUUGUCAUAUUCUUAUGCUUACAUUCUUAAUGUUAGCUUGCAUUUAUAUAGCACUUUUAAGGUAGUAAAACGUCCUAAAGCGCUUCACAUGUGUGAUCAAAAAAAAAUUGACACAGUGUCACAGAAGGAGACGUAAGGGCAGGUGGCUAAAAAAACUUGUCUAAAAAGGUUUUAGGCGCAUCUUAAAAGAGGAUAGAUGGGGAGGUGAUUUAGGGAUGGAAUGCCAGAGCUUAGGGCCCAGACAGUUGAAAAUAGCAGUGAAGCAUUAAAAUCGUAAAGCCCAAGGAUUUAGAAUUGGAGGGCUGCCAAGAUUUGGAGGAUUGCAGCACUGGGGAAUAGGGAGGGGCAAUGCCAUGGAGUGAUUUAAAUACAACAAUGUGAAUUUUUAAAAUCCGAAUGUUGUCAGACUAGGAGCCAAUGUAGCCCAGCGAGCACAGGGGUAAUGGAUGAAUGGGCCUUGAUGCAAUUUAGGAUAUAGGCAACAGAGCUUUGGAUGAACUAAAUGGCACUUAAUAUGAAGCAGAGCAAAUGAAGGAACUUAAAGGAUGUUUUGAAUGGUCUUGAAGCUGCCAAAACCCCACCAAAUAUAUAUCACAAGAAAAACAAGGGAGCCAAUUAGAAUUCCCACAAUGGAUUUUCAGGCAUGGGAUGCUUUUUAAGUAGCUAUUGUGCAGAGACAGCAACAUCACUUAUGAGGGAAUUGCAUUAGUUUUUGAAAAGGUAGCAUGUAAAAGGAUAGGGGGCAGAGGCAGGGAAAUGAGAUUAGAGUGGAUAUUCAGCUAAAGAGCUAGCACAGGUACAAAGGGCAAAUGGCCACCAUUUUAUGAUUUUACUCAUCCCAAACGAACAUUUACAAGUCUUAAUGCUACUCUAACAUUUCAAAUGUAUUGUAGAAAUAGUAUUUAUAGACCAGAAGAAUACAAAAUGUUUUUCAAAGAGUUGCUUUCAAAAAUGCUGUCAGCAAAAUGUUACCAUUCACAUGAUCAUUAAAAUAAAACACUUUGAUAUAAUGUUUCUGGAAUUCAUUGUCUUUAAAUAAAACUAAAUCUCAUUGCGGCUACAAUUUGACAGUUGAAUUUUCAUUGUAAAUAUACUAAUUAAGGUUGAUGAUUAGUGCUUUAAUGAGGUUAUAUCAAACCACUAAUGGACAGUCAAGAGGUUGUUUUUAUUCAUUCAUGGCAUGUUGACAUUGCUGGCAAGGCCAACAUUUGUUGCCCAUCCCUCACAAACAGUUAAGAGUCAACCAAAUUGCUGUGGGUCUGGAGGCACAUUUGGCCAGACCAGGUAAGGGGAGCAGAUUUGCUUCUCUAAAGGAUACUAGUGAAUCAGAUGGGGUUUAACCAUAGUUUCCAUUACUGAGACUAGCUUUCAAUUCCAUUUUUUUUUAAUUAAUUGAAUUUACAUUCCACUGACUGCCAUGGUGGGAUUUGAAUCUGUGUCUCCAGAGUGUUAGCCUGGGCCUCUGGAUUACUAGUCCAGCUACAUUACCACACCCCAUUGCUUUUCACAGCUUACAGAGUUAGGUUGCAGUGUCGGAUCCUGAGACUCCUCAUUUGAACAUCAUAUGUAAAAUAUUUCAUUAAUAAAAGGAACCUAUCACCUAA